AUUGAACGCUGGCGGCAGGCUUGACACAUGCAAGUCGAGCGGGGUGAUGGUGCUUGCACUAUCACUUAGCGGCGGACGGGUGAGUAAUGCUUAGGAAUCUGCCUAUUAGUGGGGGACAACAUCUCGAAAGGGAUGCUAAUACCGCAUACGUCCUACGGGAGAAAGCAGGGGAUCACUUGUGACCUUGCGCUAAUAGAUGAGCCUAAGUCGGAUUGGCUAGUUGGUGGGGUAAAGGCCGACCAAGGCGACGAUGUGUAGCGGGUCUGAGAGGAUGAUCCGCCAAACAGGGACUGAGACACGGCCCAGAGUCCUACGGGAGGCAGCAGUGGGGAAUAUUGGACAAUGGGGGGAACCCUGAUCCAGCCAUGCCGCGUGUGUGAAGAAGGCCUUAUGGUUGUAAAGCACUUUAAGCGAGGAGGAGGCUCUUUUGGUUAAUACCCAAGAUGAGUGGACGUUACUCGCAGAAUAAGCACCGGCUAACUCUGUGCCAGCCGCCGCCGUAA
rnacentral:rRNA from 1 species